rnacentral:tRNA from 1 species
CCGUAGCUCAGCUGGAUAGAGCAUCGGACUUCUAAUCCGAAGGCCGCAGGUUCGAAUCCUGCCGG